rnacentral:rRNA from 1 species
CGCGAGAGACGGACUGGCGGCGUGCCUAACACAUAGCAAGUCGAGCGAGUGGAGUCUUCGGAACAAGCUAGCGGCGAACGGGUGAGUAACACGUAGGGCAACCUACCUCAUAGAGGGAUAAGCCUUCCGAAAGGAGAUUAAUACCGCAUAAGAUUGUAGCUUCGCAUGAAGUAGCAAUUAAAGGAGUAAUCCGCUAUGAGAUGGGCCCGCGGCGCAUUAGCUAGUUGGUGAGGUAACGGGCGUCACCCAAGGCGACGAUGCGUAGCCGACCUGAGAGGGUGAUCGGCCACAUUGGGACUGAGACACGGCCCCAGACUCCUACGGGAGGCAGCAGUGGGGAAUAUUGCACAAUGGGGGAAACCCUGAUGCAGCAACGCCGCGUGAGUGAUGACGGCCUUCGGGUUGUAAAGCUCUGUCUUCAGGGACGAUAAUGACGGUACCUGAGGAGGAAGCCACGGCUAACUACGUG